rnacentral:rRNA from 1 species
GCAGUAGCCACGGGAAUCCGUAGGGUGCGAGCGUUAAUCGGAAUUACUGGGCGUAAAGCGUGCGCAGGCGGUUGUGUAAGACAGAUGUGAAAUCCCCGGGCUCAACCUGGGAACUGCAUUUGUGACUGUAGAGCUGGAGUGCGGCAGAGGGGGAUGGAAUUCCGCGUGUAGCAGUGAAAUGCGUAGAUAUGCGGAGGAACACCGAUGGCGAAGGCAAUCCCCUGGGCCUGCACUGACGCUCAUGCACGAAAGCGUGGGGUGCAAACAGGAUUAGAUACACCAGUAGUCCCUGUCUCUUAUAC